CGCAGGGUGCGAGCGUUAAUCGGAAUUACUGGGCGUAAAGCGUGCGCAGGCGGUUUUGUAAGACAGAUGUGAAAUCCCCGGGCUCAACCUGGGACCUGCAUUUGUGACUGCAAGGCUAGAGUACGGUAGAGGGGGAUGGAAUUCCGCGUGUAGCAGUGAAAUGCGUAGAUAUGCGGAGGAACACCGAUGGCGAAGGCAAUCCCCUGGACCUGUACUGACGCUCAUGCACGAAAGCGUGGGGAGCAAACAGGAUUAGAUACCCUGGUAGUCCACGCCCUAAACGAUGUCAACUGGUUGUUGGGUCUUUACUGACUCAGUAACGAAGCUAACGCGUGAAGUUGACCGCCUGGGGAGUACGGCCGCAAGGUUG
rnacentral:rRNA from 1 species